rnacentral:rRNA from 1 species
GUUGACCUCGGAUCAGGUAGGGAUACCCGCUGAACUUAAGCAUAUCAAUAAGCGGAGGAAAAGAAACCAACAGGGAUUGCCCUAGUAACGGCGAGUGAAGCGGCAACGGCUCAAAUUUGAAAUCUGGCGCAAGCCCGAGUUGUAAUUUGUAGAGGAUGCUUCUGGGUAGCGGCCGGUCUAAGUUCCUUGGAACA